AGAAUCAAUGCUGGCGGCGUGCCUAACACAUGCAAGUCGAACGAGAAAGUGGAGCAAUCCAUGAGUAAAGUGGCGCACGGGUGAGUAACACGUGACUAACCUACCCUUGAGUGGGGGAUAACCUCGGGAAACCGGGGCUAAUACCGCAUAAUAUCGAGAGAUCAAAGGAGCAAUUCGCUUAAGGAGGGGGUCGCGGCUGAUUAGCUAGUUGGUAGGGUAAUGGCCUACCAAGGCUAUGAUCAGUAUCCGGCCUGAGAGGGCGCACGGACACACUGGAACUGAAACACGGUCCAGACUCCUACGGGAGGCAGCAGUGGGGAAUUUUGCGCAAUGGGGGAAACCCUGACGCAGCAACGCCGCGUGGAGGAUGAAGUCCCUUGGGACGUAAACUCCUUUCGAUCGGGACGAUAAUGACGGUACCGGAAGAAGAAGCCCGGCUAACUUCGCGCCAGCAGCCGC
rnacentral:rRNA from 1 species